GACGAACGCUGGCGGCGUGCUUAACACAUGCAAGUCGAACGAAGUGGCGAACGGGUGAGUAACGCGGAAUCAACCUGCCCUUCAGAGGGGGACAACAGUUGGAAACGACUGCUAAUACCGCAUACGGAAGGAGGGGAUUGCGGCUGAUGAGCUAGUUGGGGGGGUAACGGCCCACCAAGGCGAUGAUCAGUAGCCGGUCUUGGAGGAUGAACAGCCACAUUGGGACUGAGACACGGCCCAGACUCCUCCGGGAGGCAUCAGUGGGGAAUCUUCCGCAAUGGACGAAAGUCUGACGGAGCAACGCCGCGUGAGUGAUGACGGCCUUCGGGUUGUAGAGCUCUGUUAAUCGGGACGCGGUACCGGAAUAGAAAGCCACGGCUAACUACGUGCCAGCCGCCGCGGUAAUAC
rnacentral:rRNA from 1 species